UCUCUCUCCUCUUGAAUCUGAGUUCUCUGAGUGAAGUGAACUCAAGCAUCAUUUUUGGGCCAGGACAAUGAUUGGGCUGCAGUGUUGGCUUUUACCUUCAAAGUCAGAGAGGCUUAGGCCCCUGCUUUCUGCUUUUCCCAUUAAAGGCCAGGGACCCCAUGAUAUAGCCCGUUCCUCCUGUUAUAAUUGGGAUGACUUUCAAGGAAAUGGAGGCAGCUCACCAAAGUCAUGCUUCUUUUUCUAGGUCUCAAAGUUGACGCAAACCAGAAUUUGAAGUGGAGUCUUCUAGAACCUGAUGUGGCUGGGCAAAUGCUGGCCAGCAGAGCUGACAGCCAAGCUGGGGAGAAGAGCUCAUCAAGAGAUGUGAAUAUCCAACCUUCCAAGUCCAGACAGCCAUGGGAGCCAGGCUACAGGGCAAGGUGAACAGAACCACCAGAACCCUCAGCAGCCUGACCCCAGAUCCUCAGCCUCACUGAGAUGACUGCUGACCAACUCCUAACAGGGAUCUGCAACAUGUGGUUAGGGCUUGUGGACAGAGAUGCAGCCAGAAUACCCCACAACCUACGAGGAUGCAAUAUUCUAGGACUGUCUGUGCAAGACUUGCUCAUUCUACUCAUGGUCCUGAAGUCGAGCUGGAGGCAAGCUCUAGUUCUGGGCUCUACUGGAGAUGCUCUGCCUCAGGCUGGGUUUGCUGCUGUAACAAGCAAAACUGCUUGCCAACUGGCUCGUUCUGGCUCCAGCCUUGCUUCAGCCAGUUCAUGGCAGAGGCUCUUCAUCCUUCCUUUGGAAGAUUACUGACACCAACAAGGAUGUAUGGGCUGGUAGAAAGAAGGAACCUGAAAACUCACGGAGAGGAAAGAGAGGAGCUAGAGCUAUUGGCUGAAGAUCUCAGUUCAAGGCCCUUCAAGGAAGAUCUUUGAACAUGCUGAGCCUCAGUUGCUUCAUCUGUAAAACAGAGCUUCUGUCACCCUCUGGUCCCUAUUCCUGACUCACAGGGUCAGUUGAGUUUAAUGUGUGUGUGAGAUGCCCAUGGAGUGGUCAAGAGUGUUCAUGCUGGAAUCAGCACUGCCACUUUCUAGCUGAGCACAUGCCUCAGUUGCUGGUUGGCAAUGGGGGACAGAACCUUCCUGACAGAGCUGCUGUGCAAAUUCAGAGAGCUUCCAUGGCCAAUGUGUCUGGUGCCAUUCCUGGAAUCCAGGUGCAGCCUCUACUCUCAGGGGACUGUCUUGUGUGGGAGAGAAACAAUGAAUGUGUAUAAAAAGUGGCUCCAUGGAUAGAGUGGCCAUGUGUAUCCUGAAUAUAUCCACUGUUUUUUCUGGUAUAAUUACCAAUAGCACCCCUUUUCACACUCAGAAGCCUUCUAGCUUGAAAGAUAAAUUUUAUAAUCACUUUCACUGUGAAGAAAACUAAAGAGCAUUUAGUGAGACAGUGACCCAAUCAAGUAUCGUUAGAUGGGUCGGAAGGCCACUUGGAGGAUAUGAUGUGUUCAUUACGACCUGAAUGAAGGGAAGGAGUCAGCCACGCGUCACUGUGCUGAAUGAACAUUCCAGUAGAGGGGAGAGCAGAGACCCUGCGGCAGCCCUGGGCUUCCGGUGUUGGAGGAACAGGAAGGCUGACAGUGUAGUUGGAGCAAAUUCAAUUGAGUGGUGCAAAAAGAGGGCCUAGGAAUAGCCCGGGCCACCAUAGACUCCUUCUGAACAUUUUAGUCCCAUGACCUCAUGCAUUCUCUUUUAUCUUAAACUGGUUUGAGUCAGGUUUUCUUUACUUACACACAACAAAUGAAAGAAUUCUUUAAAAUAUAAAAUAUUAACACUGGUGGUCUCAGGUUGUAGGAUUAGAGAGCUUUUACUUUUAAAAGUUUGCUUCUCUGAAUUUUAUGCAAUGAACUUGGAUUACUUUUG